rnacentral:ncRNA from 1 species
UGAAAUAGAGGCGCGGAGCGCAUCAGUAACCCCCUUUCGGCACGGAAAUACCGCGGGCAAAAGGGCGCGCCGCCGAAGUGUUCGCCGGGUUUCCGACCGACGGAUGCUGGGAUAACGCAAAAUAUGCGUUAUACUGUCGCGAGCUUUCGCGGAGUGCUAUUC